rnacentral:rRNA from 1 species
AGUGAACGCUGGCGGUGGGCCUAACACAUGCAAGUCGAACGGCAGCACAGUAAGAGCUUGCUCUUACGGGUGGCGAGUGGCGGACGGGUGAGGAAUACAUCGGAAUCUACUUUUUCGUGGGGGAUAACGUAGGGAAACUUACGCUAAUACCGCAUCCGACCUACGGGUGAAAGCAGGGGAUCUUCGGACCUUGCGCGAUUGAAUGAGCCGAUUUCGGAUUAGCUAGUGGGGGGGGUAAAGACCCACCAAGGCGACGAUCCGUAGCUGGUCUGAGAGGAUGAUCAGCCACACUGGAGCUGAGACACGGUCCAGACUCCUACGGGAGGCAGCAGUGGGGAAUAUUGGACAAUGGGCGCAAGCCUGAUCCAGCCAUCCCGCGUGGGUGAAGAAGGCCUUCGGGUUGUAAAGCCCUUUUGUUGGGAAAGAAAAGCAGCAGGUUAAUACCCCGCUGUUCUGACGGUACCCAAAGAAUAAGCACCGGCUAACUUCGUG